GACGAACGCUGGCGGCGUGCUUAACACAUGCAAGUCGAACGGUGAAGCGCCUUCCUUUUUGGUGGGUGUGGAUGAGUGGCGAACGGGUGAGUAACACGUGAGUAACCUGCCCCCUUCUUCUGGAUAACCGCAUGAAAGUGUGGCUAAUACGGGAUAUUCUGGGUCUGUCGCAUGAUGGGUCUGGGAAAGAUAUUGUUUCGGUGGGGGAUGGGCUCGCGGCCUAUCAGCUUGUUGGUGGGGUGAUGGCCUACCAAGGCGGUGACGGGUAGCCGGCCUGAGAGGGUGGACGGUCACACUGGGACUGAGACACGGCCCGGACUCCUACGGGAGGCAGCAGUGGGGAAUAUUGCACAAUGGGCGAAAGCCUGAUGCAGCGACGCCGCGUGAGGGAUGGAGGCCUGCGGGUUGUGAACCUCUUUCGCCAGUGAAGCAGGCCUGCCUCGUUUGUGGGUGGGUUGACGGUAGCUGGAUAAGAAGCGCCGGCUAACUACGUG
rnacentral:rRNA from 1 species